rnacentral:rRNA from 1 species
GACGAACGCUGGCGGCGUGCUUAACACAUGCAAGUCGAACGGAAAGGCCCUGCUUUUGUGGGGUGCUCGAGUGGCGAACGGGUGAGUAACACGUGAGUAACCUGCCCUUGACUUUGGGAUAACUUCAGGAAACUGGGGCUAAUACCGGAUAGGAGCUCCUGCUGCAUGGUGGGGUUUGGAAAGUUUCGGCGGUUGGGGAUGGACUCGCGGCUUAUCAGCUUGUUGGUGGGGUAGUGGCUUACCAAGGCUUUGAAGGGUAGCCGGCCUGAGAGGGUGACCGGCCACAUUGGGACUGAGAUACGGCCCAGACUCCUACGGGAGGCAGCAGUGGGGAAUAUUGCACAAUGGGCGGAAGCCUGAUGCAGCAACGCCGCGUGCGGGAUGACGGCCUUCGGGUUGUAAACCGCUUUCGCCUGUGACGAAGCGUGAGUGACGGUAAUGGGUAAAGAAGCACCGGCUAACUACGUG